GGAGAUAAAAAGCCAAUCCUCUGAGGACGGCGGUCCUGGAAGAAAAGAAAGAACGAGGCAUCCUUGAGCAGCUGAACAAGUCAGUUUGGGCUUCUUUUUAUGAGCGAAAAGCAAACCCUCAUUUGUGUACAUCACAGUCAGUCAACUUUUCCUCACCUUUUUUAGGUUUAAUGUUAUCUGUUUCCUUUUUUUGGCCAAAUAAUUUAUUGACAUGGUUCAAAAUCCAAAAAGUAUCCAACAGUAAACAGUGGAAUGUCUCUUCAGUCUUCUCCCUCAACUACCAUGGUCCUCUCCCUUGAAGCAACCAAUAUGACUGUUUCUGAUGCUUUUCCAGAGAAAACAGCAUGCAACUCAACCCAGUGAGAGAUGGCCUGUUUCAAUCAGCCUUCCAUCUAACAGUCUUACUGAGGCAGCUUUUCAUACAGGAUGCUGUCCAUUCAUCUUAGAACUACCAUCAGUUUUCAUCCAAACUUUCACCGUAAUUCCAUCAACCAUUGCAUCUGCAUAUUCUCCUAAUCUAAUGUAACCUCAGCCCCAUUAAGACUUCACCAACAGGUUUUGGAAUCACAAUGCAUUGGGCUCCUGUGUCAAGGAGUCCCAGAAAAGUCUUUCCCCAGCCAUUUUAUCCACACAUGCAUAUGAUCUUGGAUCCCCAGCUGGGGUUCAGGCCAAGAGGGUCCUAACUUCUCAAAUCUGUGUUUGGUCAAGAAUUAAGGUCUGACCCAGUAUUCUCUUUUAUUUUCAUUUUAGUACUCUCUUUUAUUUUCAUAUUACCAAUAACAACAACCAAGGAUCUG